GUGGGGAAUCUUGCGCAAUGGGCGAAAGCCUGACGCAGCCAUGCCGCGUGAAUGAUGAAGGUCUUAGGAUUGUAAAGUUCUUUCGCCCGUGACGAUGAUGACGGUAACGGGAGAAGAAGCCCCGGCUAACUUCGUGCCAGCAGCCGCGGUAAUACGAAGGGGGCUAGCGUUGUUCGGAAUUACUGGGCGUAAAGCGCGCGUAGGCGGUUUUGCAAGCCAGAGGUGAAAUGCCUGAGCUUAACUUAGGAAUUGCCUUUGGGACUGCGAGGCUUUGAGGACGGGAGAGGUGAGUGGAAUUCCCAGUGUAGAGGUGAAAUUCGUAGAUAUUGGGAAGAACACCGGUGGCGAAGGCGGCUCACUGGCCCGUUUCUGACGCUGUAGCGCGAAAGCGUGGGGAUCAAACAGGAUUAGAAACCCUUGUAGUCC
rnacentral:rRNA from 1 species